rnacentral:rRNA from 1 species
GCGGCGGACGGGUGCGUAAUACCUAGGAAUCUGCCUGGUAGUGGGGGAUAACGUCCGGAAACGGGCGCUAAUCCCGCAUACUAUCAGAUGAGCCUAGGUCGGCUUAGCUAGUUGUGGGGGUAAAGGCCUACCAAGGCGACGAUCCGUAACGGGUCUGAGAGGAUGAUCAGUCAUCCUGUAACUGCGACACUGUCCAGACUACUCCGGGAUGUAGCAGUGGGGAAUAUUGGACAAUGGGCGAAAGCCUGAUCCAGCAAGGCCGCGUGUGUGAAGAAGGUCUUCGGAUUGUAAAGCACUUUAAGUUGGGAGGCGUUACCUACAGAAGAAGCACCGGCUAACUUCGUGCCAGCAGCCGCGGUAAUAC